GAUGAACGCUGGCGGCGUGCCUAAUACAUGCAAGUCGAGCGAACGGACGAGAAGCUUGCUUCUCUGAUGUUAGCGGCGGACGGGUGAGUAACACGUGGAUAACCUACCUAUAAGACUGGGAUAACUUCGGGAAACCGUAGCUAAUACCGGAUAAUAUUUUGAACCGCAUGGUUCAAAAGUGAAAGACGGUCUUGCUGUCACUUAUAGAUGGAUCCGCGCUGCAUUAGCUAGUUGGUAAGGUAACGGCUUACCAAGGCAACGAUGCAUAGCCGACCUGAGAGGGUGAUCGGCCACACUGGAACUGAGCCACGGUCCAGACUCCUACGGGAGGCAGCAGUAGGGAAUCUUCCGCAAUGGGCGAAAGCCUGACGGAGCAACGCCGCGUGAGUGAUGAAGGUCUUCGGAGCGUAAAACUCUGUUAUUAGGGAAGAACAUAUGUGUAAGUAACUGUGCACAUCUUGACGGUACCUAAUCAGAAAGCCACGGCUAACUACGUG
rnacentral:rRNA from 1 species